CUUGGGUAAGAAGCUGAUGUUGAGAGUGAGAGGUUCUAGAGUUUCAUUUUGCUGCAUUUCAGUUUCAGAGAGUAAGUAGCAAUAUCCGCCGCUGGCUGGUGAUGGGACAGAGAGAACGAAGUCGUUGGCAAGAAGAGAUACUUUCUAAAAUAGCUCCAGUCAACACAGAAGAAACUUGAGCAUGCGCAACAAAUCCUUAGAAAGACUUCUGUCACUGCCUUCAACUUGACCACCCGGCUGAAUCGAUCAUCACCAGCCAGCAAAAAAACGCCUCCAUGUUGUCCCUCUCCAGGGUGUUAAAUUACAGUUGCAGUCAGGGUAAAGAAUACAAGUCAUCUUUUAAUAACAUCUAGCGUCAGAUGCCAUCAACAAGAUGACAUUUCCUGGAAAGAGCCAUCGUUUGCCAGAGUUAUAAUUUGCAAUGAUUUGCUUGAUAUGAUCAACAAAGAGAAAGUAAAUAAUCCAAACAGGACUGCUGGCAUAAAAUUGCAGCCUCAUUAAGAGAAGUAUGUGGGUAAACACCAAAGAUGAGCUUGAUGGUGGAAGGGAGGAGUGUGUGGAGACCACAAGAAUUUGUAAGACUGAAGAAUCCUGGUUUCACCCACUUAGAAUUAAACUAGGCUGACGUUUGCCAAA